CCUACGGUGGGCAGCAGUGGGGAAUAUUGCACAAUGGGGGAAACCCUGAUGCAGCGACGCCGCGUGAGCGAUGAAGUAUUUCGGUAUGUAAAGCUCUAUCAGCAGGGAAGAAAAUGACGUUACCUGACUAAGAAGCCCCUGCUAACUACGUGCCAGCAACCGCGGUAAUACGGAGGGGGCAAGCGUUAGUCGGAUUUACUGGGUGUAAAGUGAGCGUAGACGGCAAUGCAAGCCACAUGUGAAAGCCCGGGGCUCAACCCCGGGACUGCAUUUGAAACUGUAUAGCUGGAGUGUCGGAGAGGCAGGCGGAAUUCCUAGUGUAGCAGUGAAAUGCGUAGAUAUUAGGAGGAACACCAGUGGCGAAGGCGGCCAGCUGGACGAUGACUGACGUUGAGGCUCGAAAGCGUGGGGAGCAAACAGGAUUAGAUACCCCUGUAGUC
rnacentral:rRNA from 1 species